rnacentral:rRNA from 1 species
UGUGAGUAGUAGAGUUUGAUCCUGGCUCAGAACGAACGUUAGCGGCGCGCCUAACACAUGCAAGUCGCGCGAGAAAGGGCUUCGGCCCCAGUAAAGCGGCGCACGGGUGAGUAACACGUAGGUCAUCUUCCCCUGAAUGGUGGAUAACUCUCCGAAAGGAGAGCUAAUACAGUAUAAGACCACGACCUCGCUGAGGUUGCGGCCAAAGCAGACCUCUUCAUGAAAGUUUGCGUUUAGGGAUGAGCCUGCGGCCCAUCAGCUAGUUGGUAGGGUAAUGGCCUACCAAGGCUAAGACGGGUAGCUGGUCUGAGAGGAUGAACAGCCACACUGGAACUGAGACACGGUCCAGACUCCUACGGGAGGCAGCAGUGGGGAAUCUUGCGCAAUGGGCGAAAGCCUGACGCAGCGACGCCGCGUGAGUGAUGCAGGCCUUCGGGUUGUAAAGCUCUGUGGGGAGGGAAGAAUAAGUCUUGGCUAAUAUCCAAGAUGAUGACGGUACCUCCUUAGCAAGCACCGGCUAACUCUGGUGCCAGCCGCCGCGGUAA